UACGUAGGGAGCAAGCGUUGUCCGGAAUCAUUGGGCGUAAAGCGCGCGUAGGUGGCUUCGUAAGUCCGUUGUGAAAGUCAAAGGCUCAACCUUUGAAAGCCGAUGGAUACUGUGAAGCUAGAGUACGGAAGAGGCGAGUGGAAUUCCUGGUGUAGCGGUGGAAUGCGCAGAUAUCAGGGGGAACACCAAUAGCGAAGGCAGCUCGCUGGGACGGUAUUGACGCUGAGGCGCGAAAGCGUGGGGAGCAAACAGG
rnacentral:rRNA from 1 species